rnacentral:tRNA from 1 species
GGGGAUGUAGCUCAGAUGGUAGAGUGAUCACUUAGCAUGCGAGAGGUACGGGGAUCGAUACCCCGCAUCUCCA